UUGGGUGUGCUGCUCAGUGGCACAGCACUUGUCUAGCAUUUGUGAGGCUCUGGGUUCGAUUCCCAGCACCAAAA
rnacentral:tRNA from 1 species